rnacentral:misc_RNA from 1 species
GAUGAAGAACGCAGCGAAAUGCGAUAAGUAAUGUGAAUUGCAGAACUCAGUGAAUCAUCGAAUCUUUGAACGCACAUUGCGCCCGCCAGUAUUCUGGCGGGCAUGCCUGUCUGAGCGUCAUUUCAACCCUCAUGCCCCUAGGGCGUGGUGUUGGGGAUCGGCCAAAGCCCGCGAGGGACGGCCGGCCCCUAAAUCUAGUGGCGGACCCGUCGUGGCCUCCUCUGCGAAGUAGUGAUAUUCCGCAUCGGAGAGCGACGAGCCCCUGCCGUUAAACCCCCAACUUUCCAAGGUUGACCUCAGAUCAGGUAGGAAUACCCGCUGAACUUAAGCAUAUCAAUAAGCGGAGGA